rnacentral:misc_RNA from 1 species
GAAAUGCGAUAAGUAGUGUGAAUUGCAGAAUUCAGUGAAUCAUCGAAUCUUUGAACGCAGAUUGCGCCCCUCGGUAUUCCGUGGGGCAUGCCUGUUCGAGCGUCAUCUACACCCUCAAGCUCUGCUUGGUGUUGGGCGUCUGUCCCGCCUCCGCGCGCGGACUCGCCCCAAAUGCAUUGGCAGCGGUUCCUUGCCCCCCUCUUUGCGCAGCACAUUGCCAUUCGAGGCGGCGGCGGCCCGCGUCCAACAAGCUCAACCCCCCCGUCUUUGACCUCGGAUCAGGUAGGGAUACCCGCUGAACUUAAGC